GUUCUAAACUGAAGCACAAGAAGUAAGAUACAAAAUUCCUAAGGUAGAAGAAAAUUUGAUGCCGUUCAUGAUCCACUGCCUAAGGAAUUGUGCCAACCAUGGUAGGCUGGGUCUUUCUACACCAAUCAAUGCAUCUGGAAAAUUUCCCACAGACAUGCCCACAGACCAUCCUGAUCUAUAUUAGGAUUCUCUUCUCUGGUGAUUUUAGAUUGUGUCAUGUGGCAACUAAAACCAUCACACUAGCCAGUUGCUUUUGAGAUGGCUUGGCUUCAUUUCCAGUUGUUCCUAAUCAAGCAAAGAAGGCAAAUGGAUAGAACUAGAAGAAACCAACCCAAGUGAGAUAAACCGGGCACCAAAGACAAGCAAGGAACUUGGUCCAUUGGAAAACCUCAAAUGAUUUGAAGAAAGAAAUUGAAGAAGAUAUCAGAAGACAGGAGGAUCUCCCAUGCUCAUUUAUCU